UAGGGAAUCUUCGGCAAUGGACGAAAGUCUGACCGAGCAACGCCGCGUGAGUGAAGAAGGUUUUCGGAUCGUAAAACUCUGUUGGUAGAGAAGAACGUUGGUGAGAGUGGAAAGCUCAUCAAGUGACGGUAACUACCUAGAAAGGGACGGCUAACUACGUACCAG
rnacentral:rRNA from 1 species